CCUACGGGAGGCAGCAGUAGGGAAUCUUUCACAAUGGGCGAAAGCCUGAUGGAGCAACGCCGCGUGCAGGAUGAAGGCCUUCGGGUUGUAAACUGCUUUUAUAAGCGAGAAAUAUGAUGGUAACUUAUGAAUAAGGAUCGGCUAACUACGUGCCAGCAGCCGCGGUCAUACGUAGGAUCCGAGCAUUAUCCGGAGUGACUGGGUGUAAAGAGUUGCGUAGGUGGCAUAAUAAGUAGUUAGUGAAAUCUGGUGGCUCAACCAUUCAGACUAUUAGCUAAACUGUUAAGCUCGAGACCGUUAGGGGUAACUGGAAUUUCUAGUGUAGGAGUGAAAUCCGUAGAUAUUAGAAGGAACACCAAUAGCGUAGGCAGGUUGCUGGGACGGUUCUGACACUAAGGCACGAAAGCGUAGGGAGCAAACGGGAUUAGAUACCCGAGUAGUC
rnacentral:rRNA from 1 species